rnacentral:lncRNA from 1 species
UCCUCUUCCGCUGCGCAAGGGCCGAGGCUGGGCGGCUCGGGGCCGCUUCCCGCACGCGCCGACCCCUGCCGGGGACAGCAGGGGACCCGAGUGCGCGGCGCUUUCCGCCCGCCGGGCAGCCUCGCCCCCGCCUGCCCGGCCAGCAGUCCAUAAAUAUUCCCGAGGCCCGGAGGGGGCAGAAAACGCUUUCCAACGCGUCUUCUAGCCGCGGUCCACCUUUCCACGCGCGGAACCCUGCGAGGAGAGGCCUGGACACCAGGGGAUGGCUGUUGCCCAGUACUCCUGAAGGUGCCUGGAGAGGUGGAGGGGCUGCUGGACACUAUGGAAAAGGCACCAGCUGGGAGCCAGACCCUGGCUCUGCUUCUCUCUGGCCUCAGCUCUCUGUCUGUAGAGUGAGGGGCCUGGCUGUCCCUUGUUCCUCCCCACUUCCUCCUCACUCUUGCUUCAUCACCCUCACAGUGAAGGCGGUAGCAAGAGGAGCCUCCUGUGCGCUGGCUAUUUUUCAGGCCUGGGUUGGGCUAUGGGCAUCAAGAGAGGGCCCAGUCUCCACCCUUAGGGAACCCAUGGAUGUACAGGGGAGGACACAUCUAUUUGUCAGUUCAUCCAUCCACCAUAGGUCAUCUAUCCAUCCAUCCAUCUAUCCAUCCCCACAUCCCUCCAUCCCCCAUCCAUCCCCCCAUUCUUCCACCCAUCCCCCGCCAUCCUUUCGUUCAUCCAUCCACACACCUAUCCAGCCAGCAAACAUUUACCCGACAUGGUCUCUGUCCCAGGCCUAGGCUAUGUGGGACUGCAGAGCAGACUCCCACAGGGUCCUUCCUUCAAAGACUCACAAUCCACCUCCAAGCUGCCCUCACAUCUCAGCCCCCAACCUGGGCACUUCUUCCCAGGUCCAGAUCUUAUAUCUCAGAGACACCCUGACUUUGCCCUUUGGGUGUCCCACAGGCUUUCAAACAAGAACACUUGAUUUGUUCCCCACCCUACCUGCUAUGUGCUUCUCUCUCAGGUUUCCCCAGGUCAAUAAAUGGCCCCGUGAUCCAUCCAGGGCUUAAACUCUACACAUCUUCCCAGAUUCCU